rnacentral:rRNA from 1 species
UACGUAGGGUGCAAGCGUUAAUCGGAAUUACUGGGCGUAAAGCGUGCGCAGGCGGCUUUGCAAGACAGAUGUGAAAUCCCCGGGCUCAACCUGGGAACUGCAUUUGUGACUGCAAGGCUAGAGUACGGUAGAGGGGGAUGGAAUUCCGCGUGUAGCAGUGAAAUGCGUAGAUAUGCGGAGGAACACCGAUGGCGAAGGCAAUCCCCUGGACCUGCACUGACGCUCAUGCACGAAAGCGUGGGGAGCAAACAGG